GGAAUUGACGGGGCCGCACAAGCGGUUUAGGAGCAUGUGGUUUAAUUCGAUGAUACGCGAGGAACCUUACCUGGGCUCGAACGUAAGAUGACUGUAGGUGAAAGCUUACAUCUCUUCGGAGCAUUUUACGAGGUGCUGCAUGGUUGUCGUCAGCUCGUGCCGUGAGGUGUCGGGUUAAGUCCCAUAACGAGCGCAACCCCUACCUUUAGUUGCCAUCAGGUUAAGCUGGGGACUCUAAAGGAACUGCCUACGCAAGUAGUGAGGAAGGCGGGGAUGACGUCAAAUCAGCACGGCCCUUACGUCCAGGGCUACACACGUGCUACAAUGGCCGAUACAGAGGGCAGCUACCUGGUGACAGGAUGCAAAUCUCCAAAGUCGGUCUCAGUUCGGAUCGGAGUCUGCAACCCGACUCCGUGAAGUUGGAUUCGCUAGUAAUCGCGCAUCAGCCAUGGCGCGGUGAAUACGUUCCCGGGCCUU
rnacentral:rRNA from 1 species